rnacentral:rRNA from 1 species
AUUGAACGCUGGCGGCAGGCCUAACACAUGCAAGUCGAACGGAGUGGCGGACGGGUGAGUAAUGUCUGGGAAACUGCCUGAUGUAGGGGGAUAACUACUGGAAACGGGCGCUAAUACCGCAUACUAUCAGAUGAGCCUAGGUGGGAUUAGCUAGUUGGUGGGGUAAAGGCCUACCAAGGCGACGAUCCGUAACUGGUCUGAGAGGAUGAUCAGUCACACUGGGACUGGGACACGGUCCAGACUCCUACGGGAGGCAGCAGUGGGGAAUAUUGGACAAUGGGCGAAAGCCUGAUCCAGCCAUGCCGCGUGAGUGAAGAAGGUCUUCGGAUUGUAAAGCACUUUAAGUUGGGAGGCGUUACCAACAGAAUAAGCACCGGCUAACUUCGUGCCAGCAGCCGCGGUAAUUC